rnacentral:lncRNA from 1 species
AUAGAAAAGUAAGUAUUAAAUUAUCACAACUUACUAAAAUAUGUUUUUAAGUAAAUGCUGUAAAAAAAAUUAAAAGUUAGUUAACUAAAUAACUAAUUCUUGCCUUAAACUGCCACAUGUCUUUCUCUUGUGCUGCCAUUUGGCUUAAUUAUAGGCUAGACUUUCUUCCUAUUAAAUAUACUUGCCCGGGCCCAACACGAACACGAACACAAGGUCAGUACAAUAUGUUGUACUCAUAAGUAAAGCAGAGAAAUUUAUUAUGAUCAAGUUAAGUAUGUUUCGGUUGAGCUGUAGUAGGGCAUAAAGUAUCUCUAUUGUGUUCCCCAACAAUUAUACAUACGGAUUUACAUCUAGAGCAUCGUAAGCGCUGUUGAAUCUUGUGUGCUCACAUCCUAUUGAAUAUCAG